rnacentral:lncRNA from 1 species
GGUAGCGUAAAGGCAGCCGCUUUGGCAGCAAAAGCAGCUGAUAAUUUAUGUUCCCUGAAGAUGUCUCCAGUUUCCAGGAAGAAGUGAGAGAAGUGAUUGCCUUGGGACAUCCAAGAUCUUUCACUAGGGAUGCUUACAGGGUGCCGGACAGGCAACGUUGGAGACUGUAGAGGGCUUUGAAAACCAUGGUGCAAACUAGCCACAUGGCCUGCCAAGCUCCCAGGUAUACCUUCGAGGAGGGCUUUGGAUUGUUGUUGUCUCCUGAGGCAAAAGGAAGACAAGGGAAAAAUGGAUCUGGAGGGCAGUCUAACAGGCUUCGGCGGCUAGUGCGGACCUGCCACCCUCUUCAAUAGGCCAGCAUAGCAUGGAGAAGCCAAAGUUGUCCACUCCUGACUUCUCAACGCUGGCCAAGAGCUGGUGACACUUUAAUCCCAGCACUUGGGAGGCAGAGGCAGGCGGAUUUCUGAGUUCGAGGCCAGCCUGGUCUACAGAGUGAGUUCCAGGACAGCCAGGGCUACACAGAGAAACCCUGUCUCGAAAAACCAAAACCAAAACCAAACAAACAAACAAAAAAAAAGCUGGUGACAGAGUAAAGCUUGAAAACGUAACUAUCAAACCAAGAAAGAGAACAGCGGAGACUGAAGAGAUGGCUCUGUAGUUAGGAGUGCUGGCUGCUCUUCCAGAGAGGACCAGGGUUCAAAUCCCAGCACCUAUGUGGAGGUUCCAGGAGACGCCCUCUUCGGGCCAUCUCAAACACUGCAUGCACGUCAUGCACAGAUGGAGCUCAGGGGUGAGAGGUGUAGGGAGGCCCCACCCAGGCCCCACUCUGCUUGUGAGAGCAGAGAUCCAGGAAUCUGAGGCCCAAGCUAGGAACCGGAAAAACACUGCUUUCCUUGAUAUCAGUGCUACAAGCAUCCUAGUGCACCCGCCCCUUCUGUUGGUGGAUUCCUAGAAAUGAAAUUGCUGAGCUGUGCCGUAUGUCUACACUCAGCUUCAUUAGCAAACACCACACAAUUUCCCAAAGACCACACCAGCCUGUUAGAACAGGAUAACAGUUCUGGUUGUCCCCGCUCCUUGUCGUAUUUUUCUCCUGUCCUUUUUAUUUAUUUAUUUAUUUAUUUAUUUAUUAAAGAUUUAUUUAUUGAUUAUAUGUAAGUACACUGUAGCUGUCUUCAGACACUCCAGAAGAGGGAGUCAGAUCUCAUUACGGAUGGUUGUGAGCCACCAUGUGGUUGCUGGGAUUUGAACUCUGGACCUUCGGAAGAGCAGUCGGGUGCUCUUACCCACUGAGCCAUCUCACCAGCCCUCCUGUCCUUUUUAUAGUAGUCACUCUGGUAUGUGUGCAUCUAUAUCACCUCAUGCACACCCAUGAUGCUCGCAGAGUGGCUAAGAACAUUAUGGUCCAGCCACACAGCAGAACUCUGUACGAACUGGUAUUACAGCCUGUCCCAUUCCCCCAAAUGCUGUGUUAAGAAAGAGAAGCCAGACAUAGGAAUUCAUGUUGUGAGAUUCAAUUUGCAUAAAAUAGAAAUGUCCUCAUCAUGCAUCCCUGGUGUUAGGACCCAGUGGUGUGUGGGGAGCACGGAGACUAGAGUUUACCGGCCUCUGCGGCCAGUAGGUGUUUUCUAGCUCUUAGGUGCUGUCAUCUAGGGUCUGUUCUCUUUGUAGAACUCUAUUGUGCUGUAGUGUGGGAUCUGUAUCAUUUUACAUAACUUAACACUGGCCAUGUAUUAAGGCCAAACAUAGAUAAGACUGUGAAAAUCAAAGCCAUAGAAGUCCAGUGGUCCAUUCACCUCUCCAUGCUGUGGAUCUGGUCACCUACACACUGAGCCAUUUAAGUGGGACUUGUUAGCAGGCUGAACAACCACAUGAGUACAUAGGGUCAUUUCAAACCAUGGCCACACCUACAGAGGUAGUCUCUGAAGGAGGAAAGGACACACACAGCGUCUGGGCCAUUUCCCUUCAGCAGAGGCAAGAGAGGGUCUCCGUGUGUCUUCGUUGCCUCAAGGCAACACACAGGGGCCUGCUCCAAUCUCAGGUGACCGUGUCCGCAUCCCUUGGGCACAGUGGGCAUGUCACAGAUCGUCAUCCUAACUCCAUGCUAAGGAACAGCAGUUUUCUCUGAACAGCCCUUCCUGGCCUGGAUCAGAAGAAGCGGGGCAGCCACAAAGCAUGCUGCCUACUCAUGCCCCCACCGCCCCCACUCUUCCCACCGCCGUUCUUCAGAGGCAGCCGGAGCCCGGUGAGUACUCCGGACUUGGGUGAGUGAAAAAUCUCCAGACUCUUCCAUGCCAGCUCCAUACCUGGCCCAGCAUGGCCACCUCAGGAUCCCAUUGAAGAGGGGCAGCUCUAAUGUCACUCAAGGACAGAGGCCUGGAGUGGGCAUUGGGCCACCUGUGCCACCUGUGCCAAUCCAUUCACACAUCUGCUCCCUUGCCGUGCUCGGUCUGUGAAGAAGGGAGGUUUUCCUUGUCAGGGAGUUAAGUGGGGUCAGCUUUGGCAGCAAGAUGGCUCACCUUUUUGAAAACACUAAGGUGCUCUCAUAGCUUCCAAAUCCCCACCAGCUACAGAAUUCCCUAUUUUAUUUUUGUUUUUUGUUUUAAUCAAGUAUUCAUGAAAUCCCUGCAGUGGGGGCAAGGGUGGAAGAAAGGAAGAGGGAAAUGGGAUGUGGAGGAUGGAGAGAGAGAAGCAGGCUAGAGAGAUGCUAGGUAACAGAUACCAAAAUACGGUUAAAUGUGAGGCCUUUGGAUGCCUACAGUCUCUUACAACAUGUUGUCGAUUUAAAAGAAAAGAAAAGAAAAGGAAAGG